ensembl:lncRNA novel transcript
GUAGCCGCCAGUUGAUGCCAAUGAAUAAAACAUCUCUGAAAGGAAGAAAUAAAUCAUUUCUACUUGUAAGAAUAAGUAAAAACAGAGAUAAUUACUCUUUUGCCAGAAAAUCAAUAUUUUGUUCAAGGAUCCCUGCCUUCUCUACUUAAAUGUGUUUUGGUUUGAGGGAAUCAAACUUUUCCCAGUUUUGAGGGAUGCUUCUGAGGGGCAUAUCCUAUGGUGUGGAGACACGAUUAUCCAUUUACAAAGAGAGAAGAGAGGAAAAAAGCCACCAUGUGAAGAAGGACAUGUUUGUUUCCCCUGGGGCCUCUCCAUCCUUGCUGAACUUAGAUGGUACGUCUCUCCUUCAUGUGCUGCCUGGGGUUGAGGAGAAGUGGCAUAGAGAUACAAGCCUCCUGGGUGAUGAGAAAGACAGAGAAGCAUUUUUCAUAGAGAGUUGCCAGGAUUGCUCAGCAUCCAGAUCAACCAUGAAAGGCACCAGGAGAAUGAACAUCUGCAUUUUUCUUGUCCAUGAUUCUUCUACAUAAUGCUACUGAAGCGAAGAUAAUCUUUAAUUGUAGAAACAAGAAGAGAAGCAAAUAUAUUACUAGUAUCCAGAAGCUCCUUCACAGUUUUCAGAUAAUGCUAAUGAGCUAGUUCCUGGUUUGUAUCACAAACUUCUCCCAAAUUCUUCCCCUAAACAUUCCUUCAUGGUGGAGCUAAUUAGACUAUUGCAGCUCCACCGUUCAUUACUGCUUGUAUUUUGUAAAAAUUAGUGCAUAUGUCAUGGGCCUAGGGAUACAUCCAUUGCAGGGAAAUGGGAGUAGGGCAUUCCCAGUUUUAGCUAUAAUUGAAAAUUAUUCUUAGGGACGAAAAUGCCAUUGAAUAAUUCUGCCUUUUCUCCUCCUUGUUCUCUCUCUCUCUCUCUCUCUGUCUCUCUCAUAUCUAUCUUCUUUCUUUCUUUCUUUCUUUCUUUCUUUCUUUCUUUCUUUCUUUCUUUCUCUCUCUCUCUCUCUCUCUCUUUACUAAGUCUGGAAACCCUUAGAGUUUCUCUUGAAUAUAUCAAGCUAAUUAUUUUUAUUUUUAUUCACUACCUUUCAUGCAUUUCCUACUUCCAAUAAUCCUUUUUUAUUAAGUCUCCCAAUCCAAGUCCACCCUCACUCAAAAGUGACCUUCCCAGAGUAGGGUGUACAAUGCGGAGUCCACAUAAGCAUCUCUAUACUUCUAAGUUUUAUGCCAAGAGCAUGCUUAUUUUAAUAAGCAAAAAACAAGUAACAAUGAAGAAAAUAAUCAUAAAGUAAAAAUCCAAAAAAAUAGAAUAACAGAAGGUUUUCCUCAGAAUUAAAAAUAAACCUAUUUUUAUGCAGACAUAAAAUGAAAAA